AGUGUAUAUAUAGUAUGUGUUUGUAUAUAUAGUAAUGUGUUUUCAAGAUUGAAGAUCUUUAAAGAAACCUACAUUCAAAUGAACAAUGUCAAGCUAAAAUAAUAAACAAACACACAAAAAUGUUAUUACAUUAUAGGGAUUGGCUAUAACCAAGCCAAGAUGUAUAACACAAGGUUUUACCACAUUUGUACAGGAAGUGGAACAUCUGACAGUUAACACCUACAGUAUCUAAGAAUUUAUGAGAAGUGAAUUUCGUCAGACAAGCAAAACAACCAAAAAUACCACAAAGACAGACAGUUGGUUCCAGUGAUCAACCUACUUCAACUUAAGUGCAACUUAAGUGCAUACCCAAAUCAUUAUUUUUAUGAACAGGAACUUGACAGGAGGAAUGAGGAAACUACAUAGGUGGAGGGCAGGAAGAUAAAGAAAAAAAGGUGGCAUCUGCAGUCAAGCUGGAGAAGUUACAGUUAACAGUAAAUCUGUGUCAAAAUUCUUGUCGCUCCUCCCUCUACCGUACAACACAUCCUAACUACUACUAGUCACCAAAAGAGGAACCUGCAUCAACAGAUCAAUUUCCAUGCACCUGACUACACAUUGAAGACAGACGGCAAUCAGAGUGAAAUAUGGAUCUAAAAACGUCAUCUCAGAAUUCAGAAAUAGGGCAGAAUUUUCUUCCACUGCAGCAGGACCCUCCAGAGUACACCAGUAUUGGAUUCCCUCCACCUGAGAUCUAUCCCAGCACUUCAGGUCAACCUGCCCAGCAGCAUGGAGCUCCGACAGCAUGUGGCCAGUGCAUCCAGGUGCCAUAUCCAGGGCAAACUACUCAAAAUGCCAACUACUCAGGACAGCAAGUAUUAGCAGAGGAGAACUCCAAAACGGCACGCACCCGGAAUCCUGCCUGGGCUGCAGUCAGCCUUUUUUGUCUUGUUUUGAUUAUUGUCUUUAAAUUUCUGAUUUUUAAGAGUAAAUACAGUAAAGGCUAUUAGAGGUGUCAUGGUUGGGUGCAGAUUACAAAGAGUUCUCUGCUUUAUAAAUGUUAUUUGCUCAAUGUAUCAUUGUACUUAAAAAAAAGUUUGUUAUGGUAUGUUGAAAACAACAGAAGCUUUGAUUGGCGAAUUAAAUUUUUCAUGAAAAACA